rnacentral:rRNA from 1 species
GUGCCAGCAGCCGCGGUAAUACGUAGGGGGCAAGCGUUGUCCGGAUUUAUUGGGCGUAAAGAGCGUGUAGGCGGCCAUGUAGGUCCGUUGUGAAAACUCGAGGCUCAACCUCGAGACGCCGAUGGAAACCAUGUGGCUAGAGUCCGGAAGAGGAGAGUGGAAUUCCUGGUGUAGCGGUGAAAUGCGCAGAUAUCAGGAAGAACACCCGUGGCUAAGGCGGCUCUCUAGUACGGUACUGACGCUGAGACGCGAAAGCGUGGGGAGCGAACAGGAUUAGAUACCCUGGUAGUCCACGCCGUAAACGUUGGGAACUAGGUGUGGGCUCCAUUCCACGGAGUCUGUGCCGCAGCUAACGCAUUAAGUUCCCCGCCUGGGGAGUACGGCCGCAAGGCUAAA